GAUGCCGUUUUUGCGGUAAAAUAAAGCAUUACAGUGUAAAAAUGCGUUGACACUAAUCAUUUUAUAUGAUAGAUUUAAUGUGUCGGCGGGUAUAUAAAUCCUCUGACAGCCCAAGUCGUGCCGCCCACGGCAUGACACAAAUAUUUUUUAAAGUUUUAGGAGGCAGUACAAUGAAGGGUACAGUUAAGUGGUUUAACGCAAAAAAGGGUUUUGGUUUCAUUUCAGAUGAGACAGGCAAGGAUGUAUUUGUACAUUACUCAGCACUUCAGAUGGAUGGUUUCAAAGUUCUUGACGAAGGUGAAGAAGUGGAAUUUGACGUAGUAAACGGCGAAAAAGGACCACAGGCUUCAAAUGUUGUAAAGA
rnacentral:sRNA from 1 species